rnacentral:rRNA from 1 species
UGGGGAAUAUUGCACAAUGGAGGAAACUCUGAUGCAGCGACGCCGCGUGAGUGAAGAAGUAUUUCGGUAUGUAAAGCUCUAUCAGCAGGGAAAGAAAAUGACGGUACCUGACUAAGAAGCACCGGCUAAAUACGUGCC